UUGUAUAAAUUGUAAAGAAAGCCACCAUGU
rnacentral:piRNA from 1 species